rnacentral:lncRNA from 1 species
CUGAGGAGAGGGCAGAACGGGGAAACCAACCUCUGGUAAUGAAAAACUUUACAGUGAAAAUCGGGACGAGUGGAACGCGGCGGAUGGAGAAAAAGGUUUAAACCCCGUUGAAAACUUGCAAAAAGGUUUUGUUUUGUUUUUCCUACAGACAGCAAAGGUUCUCGGUUAAAAACACAACUUGGAAAACAAGACACCGACCAGCUUCUUAAAGGAAACUAAAGAGCCCACGGAACGCGAAGCUGCGAGUUCCCAGGUCCCGGGGGGACCGCGGGGGGAACGCGGGUCCAGCAACGGCACCGGACACGGAAACCACACAGAAAUUACACACAGAGCCCCACGGCUGCCCGCUCUGCGCGCCCGCUGCUGCACGGCCCCGCGCGGAGUUCGUGUCUCUGCGGCCGUCCGCUGGCAAUUGCAUAAUAAAUUACAUUCACGGGAAUUCUGCAUUGGAAAUAAAUGACAGAUUCUGCAGAAAUAAUUAGGGUUUUAUUGUUAAAAUGUCUUUAGGAAAGACAAAACAAUUUAAGCUGGACUCCUCUCCUGUUGAGGGACUGUUUGUUCCCAGUCUUGCACCUGAUUGAAUCGCACUGAUUUUAAACCCUAAUUGACAGCAAUGUUGUCACCAGCAUGUGUUCACUCCCCGGGAUCAAAUACUAUUGAGUUUUGACCUCAGAUAGUACAGUGAGGCUCACUUGUCAUGUUUACUCUCAUUUCUAGAUUUACAGUGAUGCGGCAGAAGAAGAAACGGUGGGUUUGGAGCAACAGUGUGAGUUCAGUUUUGAGUCCCCUCUGUCACCGGCCUGACCCCGCGGCCCUGGCGGCACAGCUGGCGCUUGUUUGACAAGACUGUUUGCUGGCGAUAAGCCGAGUUAUUGGGCUAUUUUUUCCUUUGAAAAAAAUGCAGAUCUCAUUAAUUCUGGAGGAUAAAAGCAUCAUAUGCAGAGAAGAAAUGGUGCCGGUGAAUCCAUGCGAUUCCCCGGACACGAGAAGAUAAAACGGCAGCGUGGGUGCAGGUGAGCGGCCGCUUUUUGUGUAAAAUAACAGGUGGACGGUUUGCCACUUUUUGUGGAGUCCAAGGGGAGAGACACGAGCGAAGAUCAGGGCAAAACCCCAACCAGCCCCGGUUUCCAGCGCCGAGGCUGCCCCGAGCUGGGCGGGGGGCGGGAACGCGCCUGUUCUCUGUGUAAUUUCUUUGGGCGGUGAAGCACGCGGGACGGCUGGAGCGCACACCCAGCAACUACAGCUACAAUUAUUUAGUUUCCCUUGAAGAAAUAAGUGAAUAACAGCUCUGGAAAUCAUAAGGCUGAGAACAUCUUUAUGCAUACUGCAUAACAAAAUAAACCCUUUACAUAAGACAGUAAUAAUGCCCAUUAAUGAAUAUACGUAUGGCAGAGAUUUUAAUUCCAUGCAUAUGAUUUAAUAAUCACAGAAAAAAAAAAAAACAUACAAAGAAAAAAAUAAAAAAUAAAACCUGCUUAAGCAUAAUGAAAAUUCCUUUUGCAUUGCACUUGAGGAGAUGGGCACGAGCCGGGCGGCCCGGACCCUGCCUGCGCAACUGGUUCUUGCUCCCAACACUUGGACAUUGUCCCAGUAAUUCUACUCCUUUCGUAUUUAUUCUUGGUUUUUUUGUACCUAAAACAUAUAUAUGAACUUCUCCGUUAAUGCUCACAGUUAUUAUAAUGGCUAUUAUAAUGGUUUCAAGCAAACAGCUCUUGUUUAAAAAAACAAAACAACUCUCUAAUGUACUGUAAGUAAAUACGAUAAUUUUGGGAUUGGAAGCCGCUUUCUCUCUACUGGGAAGUAAUUUUUAAUCUUACAUAGUUUGCAUUAAUGUCCAAAAGCAAAUGAAGAUGACUGGAAAUGCGUUUCUUUGUUGAGAAUAACUUGUGUGUGAUGAUGCAUACGUGGGGUGGUUGAUUUUGUUUCCCCUUUUGUUCUUUAAAGUGUCAGCGUUGCCUAUAGAAGCUGCUGAGAGGAAAACUGAGCUGGAAGGCACAUCUGCAGCCCCAGGUCCCGUCUUCACUUGCCGCUGAUGAGCCCGAGCGUGUCAGAGGGGAGAGUUCACGGGGGAGAAUCGCUUUCUCUGCCUCCAACAACGCGACGUUGCGCUCUCCUCGGGCACGGAGAUCCCGACCGCCGGUUCAUCACACAAGCAGGUGAAUACUGAAUUUGUGGUAAAAUGGUGCAACAAAGAUGAGUUUUCCAGAAAACUGAAAGCUGAAGUAAAGAUUUCAGAAUGACUUCAAAACGCACGUGUCUUCUGCUUUAUUUCUCAACACACUCAACCGAUCACCCAUUUCCUCCUUUAUUUCCUCCUUUCCUUUCCUGAAGUGCUCUUGGCUGGAGUGAGUCUCUUGAACGCACCAAUUCAUGGAGACGGCUCUAGAAAAGGUGGCGAUUCGCAAACCCUGAAUCUGUAAGGCCGGGUUUAUCUUCCCAAAGCAUCGAUCCUCCCCUCCCCCCCGCGCGGUCCCACAUCUUCCCUUCUCCUCCGAUUGGGACGGAAAUGACGACAAUUCUCCCGAGGACAAAAUCAACUUUGAAAAGCACUCAAUCCUCAUCCAGCCCCGUGACGGGAUGAAAACUGCGCGGGCUUCCUCGACGGCUGCAAAACUGCUCACGAAAUGGCAUCAUCACCAGAGGGUUCUGUGUCGAGAAUCCCAAAGCCUAUAACAAGUCAUUAAAAAUUGUGCAUCGAAGGGUUUUUUUGU